GCUCGUGGUGAGGGCGUGUCCUGCCCGGCGGGUGUCUGGACGGGGUCCUGGGUGCCGAAAAUUCCCUCGGGCCUCGAAAAGCUCAUUUAGGCAGGAGCUCCCUGCCAAUUCACCUGGAAAAGCAGCAGAAGAUGGUCCGAGUGCUUGGGUGCCUGCACCCACAUGGGAUACCUGGAUGAAGCUCUUGACUGCUGGCUUUGGUCUGACCCAGCCCCACCCAUUGCAGCCAUUUGGAGUGCUACCCAACCUUGAAGAUGGCUCAAGUCUCUCCCACGUCUCAACUCCAGUGGUUCGAUGCAGAACGUGGGCACCCAGAGAGAAGUCCCCUGAGAGACACAGGACAGCAGCCCCUUCCUGCCCAGUACCUGUUGCUCUGCUACAUCACAGAGACACCAUGGGGCCCAGUAUGCCAGAGCCCAGGCUGGUUACAGCUCCUCAGUGGCCAUCUGCCGGGCCUGGCUCUUCGGCCCCGCCUUGCUCAGCACCUCUCUCUUUGAGGAGGGACCUGCACUCUCUGCUCUCAGAAGAGGAAGCCGGGCACCUGAUGUGCAAGCCCCCUGGGAGUCUCCCUCUUACGCCGCCAAGGGACUGAGCACGUGCCUGGGGCCAGGGAGAUGUACCCUGCACCUCCUAUCUCAUUUUUCCUUGUUUCUGCUCUCUCUGUGGCCAGGGUUUGGUGGGAAGCUCAUCCUGCCUCGCCAGGCUCCAGUGGGUCCUGCCCUGCCACCUGCAUUCCAGCCACGGAGCCCCUCAGGCCUCCAGGCUUCCUCCCCCUCCCUGGUGUGCCUGGCCCACUUCUGGGCUGCUGAGGUUGGGCCCCACAGCAGAGAGCAGUCAGGGAAGUCUGUGGAGCCCCCCUGGCUGAAGGGUCUUGGUUCUGUAGAGCAGCUUCAGGCAUAGCUCACAAAUCAGGGUCUCCCUGGUGGUGUGGAGGAAAGUUUGCACCCACCUACCAGGGCACCAUUGAUCUUCCCACCAGGGGAUGUGAAAGCAACUGAAACCCCAAGCAUCUGUUAGCCUUGGGCCCUGGGGUACCAAGGGGAGGGGGGUCUGGAAGCUGCCUCCCCUCAUCUCACCUGGAGAAGGCAGGUGCCAGCAGCAGCCACCAAAGGGAGCACAGAGAGUGCUGCCCUGUGCUGCAGCACUGUCCCAUUGCCAGCUCACUUGUCCUAAUAGCUGUGCCAGGGCCCUGCGAGGCUUUGUUGUCCCAUUUCACGGUGAGGGCACUGAGGCUGCACAGCCUAUGGACUCUGGAGCCUGCUGAGAGGACUUAGGGACCCCCUGCCAUUGAGCUGUGACUUUCAGCCACCUCUUCUAGGAGCCAGGGGUGGUGGGUUAUGGGCCCAGCUGCUGGGGAUGGGUCCCAUGAGAGGAUGGUGGUCCUGAGCUGCCCACCCACCUCAGGACUCCAGUGCCCCAGGGCACAACCUGGGAGGGACUUAGGGACCCCCUGCCAUUGAGCUGUGACUUUCAGCCACCUCUUCUAGGAGCCAGGAGUGGUGGGUUAUGGGCCCAGCUGCUGGGGAUGGGUCCCAUGAGAGGGAGGUGGUCCUGAGCUGCCCACCCACCUCAGGACUCCAGUGCCCCAGGGCACAACCUGGGAGGGGACUUAGGGACCCCCUGCCAUUGAGCUGUGACUUUCAGCCACCUCUUCUAGGAGCCAGGGGUGGUGGGUUAUGGGCCCAGCUGCUGGGGAUGGGUCCCAUGAGAGGGAGGUGGUCCUGAGCUGCCCACCCACCUCAGGACUCCAGUGCCCCAGGGCACAACCUGGGAGGGGACUUAGGGACCCCCUGCCAUUGAGCUGUGACUUUCAGCCACCUCUUCUAGGAGCCAGGGGUGGUGGGUUAUGGGCCCAGCUGCUGGGGAUGGGUCCCAUGAUAGGAUGGUGGUCCUGAGCUGCCCACCCACCUCAGGACUCCAGUACCUCAGGGGACAGCCAGGCCCAGAGCUAGGUGUGACCUGUGGCUCUGCUGCAUGAAAUAGGAGCUCCUCUGGGGGUCUCAGCAGAUUUCUCAGCAAGGUGUUGCCUUUGCUGACUUCUAGGAAUCUGGUGGGUAGGAAUCAGUUCCCAUAGGGCUCCAUCCCAGCCUGCUAGGGAAAAGGGGCCUGUGUGCCCCAGACAGGGCAGGAAGACAUCUCUGAGCUGGCAUGGUGCAGCCCCGUGGCCAGGACACCCACGAGGUGGCUCCUGUGCCCAGCAUCUGUCCAAGCCACUGUGAGGACCAGGGUGCAAGAGCAGGGAAGCGGGGCUCCAGGGCCAUCACUGCCACUAUGUCCUCUGAUCCAAGCAGAGCCAUCCCUAUGCCUAGGAAACAAGGGCAGAGAUGGAGAGGCAUCUCCCCUUCCCCUCAUGCUAGCCCUUCUCCCGUCCUGGGAGAGGGGCUGCCUUCUGCUGGCCGCGUUUCCUUCCUGGGGGUGGGUGGCAGCCAGGGCCGUGACACCCUGUUCUGUUAUUCUCCGUCCCCUGCUCUGCCUCCUAGGCUCCACCCCCAUGCCAUCUGUCUCCCUCCUGCUCCUUAUGUUUGCAGUUGUUUUGCUCUGUGAGUGAGUUAACAGGGAAAAAUAACAGUAACAUAAAAACACCUCCCAGGCAGCCCAGGAGGGGACCAUCCAAGGCCUUUAUGGAGCCAUAGAUGGGUUUGCUGGCAGCUGCGGGCCCCACUGGCCCCUUCUGCCCCUCCCCAAGCUCUAGCUUCCGGUCUGGCCCUGUGGGCUUCAGGGGAGUUUAUGGAUGGAGCUCCAUCUCCUGGCCUGUCUGAGGUUGGCUCUGCACUGCAUGGGUAGAGCAGCCUCAGUGCCCAGGAGGCUAUAGGGUCCAGCUCAGAGCUCACCAGGGUCAUCACCUGGGAGCUGGUCCCUUCCACGCAGUGCCCUCUGGACGCUGGAAGGGAUGAGCAGGCUCCAGGCUCCCCAGAGUCAAUUGGCUCUCCCCAUCCCAGGGUUCAGGAGAGGUGAGGAGCCCCACUGUCCCCCUGAGGAGCAUGGGGGACAGGGCCCUCUCCCCACUCAGGCUCCAGGACACUGGGAGCCCCUGUGGAUGGGGUUGCUCCAUGCCUUCCUACUCAGCCUGAUCCUCCCCACUGUUCUUCCCAAAUCGGCUCACCAAGGAGUUCCAGUCUCAGAGCUGUGUGAUUGUGGGGCCUCACGUCCCCACCUCUCUUUUCGGCACAUUGGAGGCUCCUGCCUCACAUUCACCAAAGGCUGACCUCAGCAUUCCUCCCCCAGAGAGCACCUACCAGAGAUAGGAGAUACAGCUCAGACAGGAGCCAGGCAUAGGAUAGUCCAAAACUGAGCCAGGGGUGAACCUCUGAAGGGUCUUGGGCCUUCCAGACCAUAGGGGAGCUGCUGAGGAGCAAGCCCAUCCCUGUGGGUGUUGGCCCUGGGUACUUUAGAUGAGCAGUGGGGCCUGACUCUCUUCUGUGUGGUAGUGGGGGUAUGGGGGAAGGAGCUGGGAAGUCUGGGAGCUCCCAGGCCUGGGAUGCUGCUGGAGCCCAAGCCAGGGACUCCUCAACAAGGGUUGAGGGGUCCUUGGACUUCUUCCCUGUUGGAGCUUCCAAGCCAUGUUCCCCUGAGCCAGCACCUCCUCUCCCAGGGCAAGGGAGCACUUGUGGUUCAAAUAGAGCAGGAUCAGCUGGGGGAGCUGAACACACCCACAACAUUGCCCACUGCCCGAGCCAUAAGGGUGAGCCGUCCUGAUCGCCAAGGGAGGUGGGUGCUUGGCUACCUAGAGGGACCAUAGAGACGCCUCUGAUGUCCUGGGCUCUCCCAACCCUGCUCGCACAUCCUUUGUGCCCUGUCCCAGGCUCGGGGCAUAGAGGUGCUGGCGUUGGGAAGGAGCAACGGAGGGAGGGUGAUAGCACCCAGCCUGACCAAGACUGGACAGAGGAGACCACAAACCCUCUCAUGAACACUUUGCAGACUGUCCUGAGCUAUCCCAAUAUCACUGCCCUGUCCUGGCUCCUGGAGAGGGGGAGGGCACAGGUGUAUCUUGGGAAUUUCUUGGUUAGUUUUGGCCCUGGCCUCUGGCUGAGGUUGGACACCACAAUGCCUGUGAUCUUGCAGGAGGGACAUCAGGAACCACACUUGUUCUAAACCAAAUAUUCUAUUAGACUUUAACCAGCAAGAAGAGCUGAAAUCCCCCCAGUUCUCUUGCUGGGGUUGGGGUUGGGGUUGGGGGGAUCAGCCACAGCAUCCUAAAGCCCUAGAAGCAUUCUCAGGCCACUGAUCUGGUCUUUUGGUUCAUGUCCAGGCCCCAGGGAGCCAGGCUGUGCUUCCAGAUGGGAGCCUGGGACCAGGUCUAAGCCCUGGGCAAGCCAGGAUCACUUAGGAGUUGGUGUGCUCAGUCCUCACCCACACAGAGGCUGGUUUGGGCAGAUCAGGCACAAGGAGCUGUAUGCCUAAGAAGAGCCCAUUCCAGCAGGGAGCCUGCCUUGUGGAGGUUCAGCCUUCCCUCCCCAGCCUCUCCACAUGCAGCUGCCUGUGGAGGACGUGGGCGGCUUCUGGACAGGUCACUCGGCCCUUUCCCGCCUCCUGAGGGCCUCUGCGGUCAUUGUCCUGUAGGAGUUACAGUCCAGGGAGUUGCACUUGAGCCCGGGCACUGGGGCUACAGCAGACUUCAUGGGGCCCAGGUCCAGUGGUGCUGGGACAACCUGGAAUGGGACCAGAGUCCCUGAUGGAUUUUGCCCUCUGGAAGCCAGCAGUCUGUAGGCACCAGGUGCACCGCAAGAUUGUAGUGGGAAGUCCAUCUUGAGUAGCCUCACCCGUCCCCUGAGCUGUCCUUGCUGGGAGAGGAAGACAGGACUGGGAAAGCCUAAUGUCCCAGAGAGUCCAGGGUGGGGGAGCUCUGGGGGAGGCCCCUGAUGACUCUACUUCAUCCUCUUCUAUGACAGGUGCCACAGUGACGAGCUCCACAGGACCUGUCACUUGAGGGAGAAGGGCUUUAGUGGGACAAUGGGGCCAGGUUCAGAAGAGCCCCCUGUUGGCUUUCACCACCUGGGAGCCAACAGUCUUCAGCUUCCAGAAGCAACACGGGGAUAGACAGGAAGGCCCAGUGGGGUAAGCCCUGCAGUGGGCUGGACCCAGAGACCAUGAGUCCCCCUACUCUUCUUCCUCCCACAGAGUCUCAGUGAAGGCCGUUUUUGGAUUUCCAGUCACUGGUGGGUGGGGUGCUAAUGUCAGGGGAUGCGCUUGUAAGUCAGAACAGGGAGGCCCACCCUGUCCUCUCGGAAGGUCAUCUUGCCACCUCUGAGGUUUGGGGAAGGCCUAGGCUGCAGGGAGAUGAGCUCCAGGCCUAGGAGCCUGCUACACAGUUCCUCUGGUCUCGCUGGGAGGAAAGCAGACUUGAUUUGCCUCUCCAUACAUCUCAUGUGGCCCACAGGGCAGGCCCCUUGGAUGUGGAUCCCUAGGGUCCUCCAGGUUCCUGCCUGGUCCCUAGCCUGUGAUCCAGAGGGAGGGCUAUGUGCAUCCUCAGCAGUAGGAGCUGCUCCUGGGUGGCACCUUGUGGGCUGCAUUGGCUCCAGGUCUUUCUCUCUCAUGUCAGAGGCUAGAGGAUUUCACUACCCAUUUCCUAUCCAACUAUAACCUAACACACGGGUUGCUGAGGUCUGAAUGUCCAUGUACAUCCAAGUCAAUAUGUGAAACUUGAAGUUUAACACGGGUGGAAUUCAGAGGUAGAAUCUUGGGGUAGAGAUGAAGAGGGGGGCAGGGAGCACCCUGGUGCCUUUUUGCCCUGAACCUUCUGCCAUGUGGAGGCCCCGGGCCUCAGACCCUCAUCAAGCACCCAAUGUGCUGCUGUCUUCAUCCUACAUUUGCAGCCUCCAGGAUUGUCAGCAAUCAAUUUCUGUUCUUUAUGAAUGAUCCAGUGUUGAGUAGUCUGUGAUCGCCUCAGGAAUGGACUCAGACAGAGUCCGGUGAGGGAGGGGCCCCCAACUCAAGGGCCCCUCUGCCUUCAGGCCACCCAACCCCCGGCCAGGAUUGUACCCUUCCAAGGCUCAGCUCAGCUCUGGAGCUCUGCCCCUGAGCUUGUGGGGCCACUCUCUGCUCUCCCACCCACAGGUGCGCUCAGGCACCUGUGCUUCCCAAGUGACCUUUACGGGACAGACAGGAAGGCAUAGCUGAGGGGCUCAGUGAGCUCUCACCACUGCCCCACCCUGCCUCUGUGGCCUCCCCUUACCCCAGGGAGGCUCCAAGUGUGCACCAGGACCCUGGGCCCAGUGAAGCCCUCCAGGGAAGGCCAAGCCUCCACCCCCAGAGCUCAAGAGAGCCAAGGAUUCAGGCCUGACCUCCUGACCAGAACCCAACUCCCAGCCCUGAGACCAGGGCGCUGAUAGGAAAACCUUCAAGGGGGCUGUCCAGGAAUCCAGUGUGUCCUGAGGCCCCCAGGCCAGGUUUUCCAGAGCUUAGAGCAGAACUGGAGGAGGAAGGCGAAAGGCAGGGCAGGGCUGCUGCUGCCUGGGCACUUCCACCCCUGACACAUCCAGGAGGCAGAAGGCACUUCUGCAGCCGUCUUGGAUCCCUGGAAUGGCCGUAGUACUGGUGUCAUCAUCCGAGGCUCAGGCCUGAUGCAGCCUCUCCUGUAGGUAUUGGGAGAGCCUGUCCCCGGGGCAGCGGCAGGAGGAGCUCUAGACACAGUGGGGAGCCUUAGGCCAGGGAGGCCCAGACAGAAGGGUUGGCACCCACAGCCUGCUCCACCCUGCCUCUCCUGCUGGAUGCUGCCAGGGCCACUCUUGGGUUAAGGCCUACGUAGGAAGCCGUGGCCCAGGGGAGGCUGGACCAGGAAAGGCCCCACCCACUCCUGUCCAAGAUUGAUGGUGAGUUGGGAGGGUUCCAAGAGGCCCCCACUGCCUUGCUCAGCCCAGCACAUUGGGCCUGCCCCUGCCUGUUUCCUCCAUGCCCUGCUCUUUCAGGCCAAGUGGUGACCUCUCCCCCCCACCCCACUCCAUCCCUACCACCCCAGGGUGGCCCCAGAGGACUUCUGUGAAUUUUGAGGACUAUGUAGGAUGUGACUGUGCAGGGGCUGUCCUUCUAAGAUGUGCAUAUCCCAUAGUCUCAGAACAGGAAGGGGUCUGGAGAGGAAAGCAGAGUGGGAGGACCAGGCCUGAGCAGAGUUCCAGAGUUCCAGGGCCCCUGGUACAGGGUGAGACCCCAGUGAGGCUGCAUCCAACAUGGCCCUGCAGCUCCUGGUGGCGAGGGAUUCAUCUCAGUGAGCAUGCAGAGCCACUUCCAGUUUUAGUUUAUGUGCUGCCAUAGUGAACACGUGGUGCCACUUCUGAGGGGGCUCUUGUCUCUGGCCGUUUCAGGGCCCUACGGGCCCAGAGAGAAGGUGACAAGGAGGCCUGCCCAGCACAGCCACUAGCCUGGGAGCCUCAGAGGCUGCUCUGUGCUCUGCGAGAAUCACCAAGGCACCAGCUGCAGCAUGGCCGGGGGUCAGUCCUCAGCCUGGGACUGACAGUGGCCUGGUAUCCAGGAGCGAGGCAGAGUGGCUCAGCUCCAGGCUGCUGUGGCCGCUUCAGGGGCUUGUGGAGUCCCUUCUUCCGCCCAGAGUGGGUCUUAAUCAGGUCCUCCUGUGAUGCUGAACCUGAGACUUGCCCUCUGACGUGGGGACGUCGCCUUUGUGUCAGGGCCUUGCUAGUCUGCCCAGCAGGGACCCUUGUGUGGCUGCUAGGCGUGGGGGUACCCACAAGCCCUUCAGGAAAGAAAUGUGACACUGAGCCAGUGACGUCAUGGAAGGGCAUCACCUGGCAGAGCUGCUCUCCCUGGGAUGCUGACCCCAUCUGCGAGUGCUGACCUCACUUGGGAGGCAUCACUUCCUGUUCUCACAAUGUGUGGUCAGCUCUAAGGAGAGCCUUGUGCCGGACCUCACCCCUCUGUGGUUCUGUCCACAUCAGUCAGGCCUCACCGUGGACUUGGAUCUCUGUGACCUGGUCAGCUGGCCCUCCUGGGAAGAGGACCUGGAACAGCACCAUGGAUUACUCACGUUGUCAGAUGCAGAGAAUGCCAGGAGCAUGUGAAACAGUGCCUGCUGCCUGCAAAAGAGAAGAGAGAGGACUGUUCUGUUCCCUUGUUGCCCGCCGAGUCUGCUUGGUUUUAUCUGACUGAUCCUGCCGGCAAACUGAACACUGACUCAAGUUCUCUUGCAAGAGCAGUUGGGUCUUGGAGCAGCUGGGUGUUCCUACAGUUUUCUGGUCAAAUCUGCCUAUGAUGACAAGGGUCACCUGGGGGUAGCUGAUGCCUUCCCGUUUUCAGUCCAGUGGGUGUUUUUAAGGUUUGCACACAGGGACGUGUGCUCUGUGGGAGGCUCAGUCCAGGCCUUUGGCCCACGUGGAGAGUCUCCCAGCCCCAGCCCAGCAGCUCCAGGAGCAGCUCCUUCCUCCUGUGUCCCCUCAGGAGUCACACUCUCCCACUCCCCUACAGUCCCUGAUAACCAUUGCUUUCUCCUCUGUCCCCAUGGCUUGGCUUUUCCCAGAAUGCCCUAUGACUGGAGUCCCAGCAUGGCAGCUUUCGGGCCUGGCUUCUUCCACGGUGUACUUCAGUGGCGUCUUCCUCCUUCUCACCCACUCCUGUUUCAAUUCCCCUGCUGAGCUCAUUGAGGUCACUUCCAGUUUGUACUGACUAUGGAUAAAACAGGAACCUUGCCUGCAGGAUUUUUGUGGAGUUAAAGCUGAUUGGGUGAAUAGCUAUGUACACAGUUCGGGGUCAGAUGGUAGGUGGAGAAGAAACGGCCACACUGUCUUGCAAAGUGGCCGUCCCAUUCUGUGUUCCUGGGUAGCCGUGAGUGAGAAUUCCCGUAGCCCCUCAUUGUUAGCCACAGAGUUGUCAAUGUUUUGGGUUUAACCACUCAGAAAGGUGAUCCUACCACUUUUCAAGUAUGUAUUUGAUGAAGCAUCUGUUCUUUAAAAAAUAUAUGAGAGAGAGAGAGAUCUUCCAUCUGCUGUUUCACUCUCCAAGGCUACAUCAUGCUGAAGCCAGGAGCUUCACCCAGGUCCCCCACAGGGGUGUAGGGACCCAAGGACUUGGGCCAUCUUCUGCUGCUUUUCCCAGGCCAUUAACAGGGAGCUGGAUUGGAAGUGGAGCAGCCAGGAACACAAACCAGUCCCAUAUGGAUGCCAGCACUGUAGGUGUUGAAUUUACUCACAACACCACAGCACCAGCCCCAAAGUGUCUGUUCUUUGAUGAAGUCCCUUCAGAUAUGGUAUCCAGUUGUGCGGUGGACAGUCAAAGAUGUUCUUGAGGCUUAAGAGUUCUUUGUAUAUUCUGGAUGCAAAUCCUUUUGUUAGAUGUGUAUUUUGCAAAUACUGUUUUCCAUUCUGUAGCUUUUGAUUUCAUACUCUUCACAAUGUCUUUUAUAGAGUAAAUGUGUUUGAUUUCAAUUAAAUUCCUCUGACCAAUUGUUUAUUUCAUUCAUGAAGUGUGCUUUUGUUUCCUCUAAAAGCUCGUCACCAAAUCAAAGCAGAUAAUCUGUUUUCUUCUAGGUUUAUGAAUUCAGAGUUACUGUUAGAUCUGUAAAUUAAAUUAGUUUUACAAGGGCCGGUGCCGCAGCUCACUUGGCUAAUCCUCCGUCUGCGGCACUGGCACACCGGGUUCUAGUCCUGGUCGAGGCACCAGAUUCUGUCCCAGUUGCUCCUCUUCCAGUCCAGCUCUCUGCUGUGGCCCAGGAAGGCAGUGGAGGAUGGCUCAAGUCCUUGGGCCCUACACCUGCAUGUGAGACCAGGGGGAGGCACCUGGCUCCUGGCUUCGGAUCGGUGCAGCGUGCCAGCUGUAGUGGCCAUUUGGGGGGUGAAGCAACGGAAGGAAGACCUUUCUCUCUGUCUCUCUCUCUCACUGUCUGACUAUGCCUGUCAAAAAAUAAUAAUAAUAAUAAUAAAAUUAAUAAAUUAG